AUCCCGAUGAAGAGUCUCAAAUAGGACGAAAUGUGCAUCCUAGAU
rnacentral:hammerhead_ribozyme from 1 species